CUACGGGACGCACCAGUUGAGGAAAUUUUACAAUGCGCGCAAGCGUGAUAAAGCGAGCCAGAGUGUUUUUCAUAAAUUUUGAAAAACUUUUGUUUGUUGCAAAAAGACAGAUGAAUAAGGAGUGGGCAAGAUCGGUGCCAGCCGCCGCGGUAAUCCCGACGCUCCGAGUCGCAGCCACAAUUAUUGGGUCUAAAACAUUCGUAGCUUGUUUGUUAAGUUUCUUGUGAAAUUCUAAAUCUUAAGUUUAGAGCGUGCAGGAAAUACUGGCAGACUAGGGACCGGAAGAAGCAAGAAGUACAGUUGAGGUAGUAGUAAAAUACGUUAAUCUCGACUGGACUAACAACAGCGAAGGCAUCUUGCUAGUACGGAUCUGACAGUGAGGAAUGAAGGCCAGGGUCGCGAAAGGGAUUAGAUACCCCUGUAGUC
rnacentral:rRNA from 1 species